rnacentral:rRNA from 1 species
CAGCAGCCGCGGUAAUUCGUAGGGUGCGAGCGUUAAUCGGAAUUACUGGGCGUAAAGCGUGCGCAGGCGGUUCGUUGUGUUUGUCGUGAAAGCCCCGGGCUCAACCUGGGAAUGGCGAUGAAAACUGGCGAGCUGGAGUGUGGCAGAGGGGGGUGGAAUUCCAGGUGUAGCAGUGAAAUGCGUAGAGAUCUGGAGGAACACCGAUGGCGAAGGCAGCCCCCUGGGCUGACACUGACGCUCAGGCACGAAAGCGUGGGGAGCAAACAGGAUUAGAUACCCUGGUAGUCCACGCCCUAAACGAUGGCAACUGGGUGUUGGGGGAGCGAUUCCUCAGUACCGUAGCUAACGCGUGAAGUUGCCCGCCUGGGGAGUACGGCCGCAAGGUUAAAACUCAAAGGAAUUGACGG